rnacentral:misc_RNA from 1 species
GAUGAAGAACGUAGCGAAAUGCGAUAAGUAGUGUGAAUUGCAGAAUUCAGUGAAUCAUCGAAUCUUUGAACGCACAUUGCGCCCCUUGGUAUCCCGAGGGGCAUGCCUGUUCGAGCGUCAUUUCACCACUCAAGCCUGGCUUGGUGUUGGGCGACGUCCCCUUUGGGGACGCGCCUCGAAACGCUCGGCGGCGUGGCACCGGCUUUAAGCGUAGCAGAAUCUUUCGCUUUGGAAGUCGGGGCCCCGUCUGCCGGAAGACCUACUCGCAAGGUUGACCUCGGAUCAGGCAGGGAUACCCGCUGAACUUAAGCAUAUCAGUAAGCGGAGGA